CAAUAGCGUAUAUUAAAGUUGUUGCAGUUAAAAAGCUCGUAGUUGGAUUUCGGGGCAGCCUGGCUGGUCCGCCGCAAGGCGAGUACUGGUCAGCCGCCCUUCCUCUCGAAAGCCCCGACUGCUCUUCGUUGCAGUGGUCGGGUAGUUCGGGACGUUUACUUUGAAAAAAUUAGAGUGUUCAAGGCAGGCCUACGCCUGAAUACAUUAGCAUGGAAUAAUGGAAGAGGACCUCGGUCCUAUUUUGUUGGUUUCCAGGGCCGAAGUAAUGAUUAAGAGGGACAGUUGGGGGCAUUCGUAUUUAAUUGUCAGAGGUGAAAUUCUCGGAUUUAUGAAAGACGAACAACUGCGAAAGCGUUUGCCAAGGAUGUUUUCAUUAA
rnacentral:rRNA from 1 species